CAUCGCUUGACGGAGCGCGAGUAAUUCCUCGCUGAGAUUGUGUCAGUUCGUUUUAUAAAGAACUUAAGCACGAGUACCGUUGAACCUGAUCAGGUUAAGACCUGCGUAGGAAUCAAGCAUCUAAAAACU
rnacentral:ncRNA from 2 species